UUUGGCACACCUAAGGAGCACU
rnacentral:miRNA from 1 species